rnacentral:sRNA from 1 species
UUGCCAGCUCCAGAGAAUGAAGUCCUCUGUUUAGUUAGAGAACAGGUAUAGUAUAGGCAGCCAAAAUGCAAGUUUCUGCCCCCCCCCCCCCCGUUUUGUCUGCAAGGUCCACCUCUAGCAAUGAAGCAAAAGUUCAGUCUCCCUGUCUAUGCAAUCUAUUGUCCCA